UGGCUGUGAUGACUUCUUAGGACACCUUUGGAUUAAAGAUGAAAAGAACUGAAUGAAGAAACUGAGCUGC